rnacentral:rRNA from 1 species
UACAUAGGGGGCGAGCGUUAUCCGGAAUUAUUGGGUGUAAAGGGUGCGUAGACGGGCUUUUAAGUUGGUUGUGAAAUCCCUCGGCUCAACUGAGGAACUGCAACCAAAACUGGAAGUCUUGAGUGUCGGAGAGGAAAGUGGAAUUCCUAGUGUAGCGGUGAAAUGCGCAGAUAUUAGGAGGAACACCAGUGGCGAAGGCGACUUUCUGGACGAUAACUGACGUUGAGGCACGAAAGUGUGGGGAGCAAAC